GGGUGGGUAAGUUAAGUUUAAACUACGGGGUUCAUGUCCCCACAAUAUAUGUUUAUAUCCCGCCUA
rnacentral:tRNA from 2 species